UAUGGUAAUUGUGUGCCUGAAGACGAGGUAAUACGUAGGUCCCGAGCGUUGUCCGGAUUUAUUGGGCGUAAAGCGAGCGCAGGCGGUUUGAUAAGUCUGAAGUUAAAGGCUGUGGCUCAACCAUAGUUCGCUUUGGAAACUGUCAAACUUGAGUGCAGAAGGGGAGAGUGGAAUUCCAUGUGUAGCGGUGAAAUGCGUAGAUAUAUGGAGGAACACCGGUGGCGAAAGCGGCUCUCUGGUCUGUAACUGACGCUGAGGCUCGAAAGCGUGGGGAGCGAACAGG
rnacentral:rRNA from 1 species